AGACUUACAGGUAAAAGAUAACGCAGC
rnacentral:piRNA from 1 species